UUGAUCAUUCAAUUUCAAAGAACGCAAAGGGAUGAAGAGCUGGCGUACCUGCUUCUGGAGUGGCGAAGAGGCUGCAACGGUGGUGGUGACUUUCGUUCAACUGCUUUCCUUUAUCUCCCCGCUGUGUGCACUGUUCUCUCUUCUUCUCAGUUCUUGAGGGACGAAGACAAUAACAAGGCUAAUUCUUGUCUCUGUGUUGCUACUCCCUUUUCUCUCCUUCUCUAUGUGAAUUUGUUCUUUUUUGUUGUCCCCUCUGGCCUCUGCCUCUUUUUUUUCCCUGUGUAUUAUUUCUUUCUCUGGGUUUUUGCUUUGUUUUUGCUCUGGUUCUGCUUCUGUUUUUUUUUUUUUUGCUCUCUGGUUUUCAGUCCCCUGUUCUGGGUUUUCUUCUCCCUUUUAUAGAGAAGCUUGCCCCUCAACCAGUCCUGCCUUUGCAGGACUGUUAUGGAAUCCACGAACGAGAUCAUGGGCAAGAGACGUGGUCCAUGAUCGGAUUUGUUGCAGAUUUUCAGGUCUCCGGUUGAAUCGGGAUGAAGAAGACCACAUGGCUGUUCCACUAGCAACGACGACGUUUCGGCAGAAAGUGAUAUUUUUAUUUUGACCCCUGCUUUCUUUGGAAAUUUGACAGUUGGACCUCAAUUAAAAUCCCUUUUAAUUUUACCAUUGGAUUAAUUUCAAUUAAA